CGUGCCUAACACAUGCAAGUCGAGCGAGGAGAUUCCUUCGGGAUGAUCCUAGCGGCGGACGGGUGAGUAACACGUGGGCAACCUGCCUCAUAGAGAGGAAUAGCCUUCCGAAAGGGAGAUUAAUACCUCAUAACAUUACAGUUUCGCAUGGAACAGCAAUUAAAGGAGUAAUCCGCUAUGAGAUGGGCCCGCGGCGCAUUAGCUAGUUGGUGAGGUAACGGCUCACCAAGGCGACGAUGCGUAGCCGACCUGAGAGGGUGAUCGGCCACAUUGGGACUGAGACACGGCCCAGACUCCUACGGGAGGCAGCAGUGGGGAAUAUUGCACAAUGGGGGAAACCCUGAUGCAAGCAACGCCGCGUGAGUGAUGACGGCCUUCGGGUUGUAAAGCUCUGUCUUCAGGGACGAUAAUGACGGUACCUGAGGAGGAAGCCACGGCUAACUACGUGCCAGCAGCGGC
rnacentral:rRNA from 1 species